GCACAACGUUUAACUUACAGGCAACUCUCAAAAGAUGCCAAACAGAAAUCUCAAGCUGAGUUGAAGAUGAGAAGGAAAAGUCAAGGAGGAUGAAAUGUACUCAGAUACAAACACAGAGAAAUUGAGUAUAUAGAAACCAUUACAUCUCGCCAGAGCGAAAUCCAGAAAUUUAUUGCAGAUGAUUGCAAAGAAGCUCUACUUGAAGAGAAAAGGCACUUCUGCUUUCUGGUCGACAAACACUGUAGCUUUGCAAAAAACUUGCAUUAUUAUCAUUUACAGAAUUACUCAAUUCCAAGCUGCCCUGGUGGCAGGAAACCUGUGGUGAUGCUA
rnacentral:lncRNA from 1 species